GCCAGACUCCUACGGGAGGCAGCAGUGAGGAAUAUUGGUCAAUGGGCGAGAGCCUGAACCAGCCAAGUCGCGUGAGGGAAGACGGUCCUAUGGAUUGUAAACCUCUUUUGCCGGGGAGCAAAAAGCGGUACGUGUACCGCAUCGAGAGUACCCGGAGAAAAAGCAUCGGCUAACUCCGUGCCAGCAGCCGCGGUAAUACGGAGGAUGCGAGCGUUAUCCGGAUUUAUUGGGUUUAAAGGGUGCGCAGGCGACACGGCAAGCCGGCGGUCAAAUCGCGGGGCUCAACCCCGCCCAGCCGUCGGAACUGGGUGCCUUGAGUGGGCGAGAAGUAUGCGGAAUGCGUGGUGUAGCGGUGAAAUGCAUAGAUAUCACGCAGAACCCCGAUUGCGAAGGCAGCAUACCGGCGCCCUACUGACGCUGAGGCACGAAAGUGCGGGUAUCGAACAGGAUUAGAUACCCGAGUAC
rnacentral:rRNA from 1 species